GUGGAUCCUUGUCCAGGAGUAGGGUGG
rnacentral:piRNA from 1 species